GACGAACGCUGGCGGCGUGCUUAACACAUGCAAGUCGAACGGUGAAGCGCCUUCCUUUUUGGUGGGUGUGGAUGAGUGGCGAACGGGUGAGUAACACGUGAGUAACCUGCCCCCUUCUUCUGGAUAACCGCAUGAAAGUGUGGCUAAUACGGGAUAUUCUGGGUCUGUCGCAUGAUGGGUCUGGGAAAGAUAUUGUUUCGGUGGGGGAUGGGCUCGCGGCCUAUCAGCUUGUUGGUGGGGUGAUGGCCUACCAAGGCGGUGACGGGUAGCCGGCCUGAGAGGGUGGACGGUCACACUGGGACUGAGACACGGCCCAGACUCCUAGGGGAGGCAGCAGUGGGGAAUAUUGCACAGUGGGCGCAAGCCUGAUGCAGCGACGCCGCGUGAGAGAUGGAGGCCUUCGGGUUGUGAACCUCUUUCGCCAGUGAAGCAGGCCUGCCUCGUUUGUGGGUGGGUUGACGGUAGCUGGAGAAGAAGCGCCGGCUAACUACGUG
rnacentral:rRNA from 1 species